rnacentral:rRNA from 1 species
AUGCAAGUCGAACGAUGAAGCUGGAGCUUGCUCCGGUGGAUUAGUGGCGAACGGGUGAGUAACACGUGAGCAAUCUGCCCUUGACUCUGGGAUAACUGCGGGAAACUGUAGCUAAUACCGGAUACGAGGCUCGAAGGCAUCUUCGGGUCUGGAAAGAAUUUCGGUCAAGGAUGAGCUCGCGGCCUAUCAGCUUGUUGGUGAGGUAAUGGCUCACCAAGGCGACGACGGGUAGCCGGCCUGAGAGGGUGACCGGCCACACUGGGACUGAGACACGGCCCAGACUCCUACGGGAGGCAGCAGUGGGGAAUAUUGCACAAUGGGCGCAAGCCUGAUGCAGCAACGCCGCGUGAGGGAUGAAGGCCUUCGGGUUGUAAACCUCUUUUAGCAGGGAAGAAGCGAAAGUGACGGUACCUGCAGAAAAAGCACCGGCUAACUACGUGCCAGCAGCCGCGGUAAUACGUAGGGUGCAAGCGUUGUCCGGAAUUAUUGGGCGUAAAGAGCUCGUAGGCGGUUUGUCGCGUCUGCUGUGAAAACCUGAGGCUCAACCUCAGACCUGCAGUGGGUACGGGCAAGCUAGAGUGCGGUAGGGGAGAUGGGAAUUCCUAGUGUAGCGGUGGAAUGCGCAGAUAUCAGGAGGAACACCGAUGGCGAAGGCACAUCUCUGGGCCGUAACUGACGCUGAGGAGCGAAAGCGUGGGGA